CCUGCCAUGUUGUCUAUUCUUCUCAGCUAUUUAAAAAAUGUUGAAUAUCAACAAUGGCUUUCACUGGUGCAUUGUCAACUUUUGUAUGAAGCAAUCUUGGCUGAAUGAGAUGGGUCUCAGAGCAGGGAGAGCUCAGCUGCAGCGUGCACCGCCACACCAGUGACUGCCCAGCACUCUCACGCUUCACAUUUCUCUGCUGCGCCCAGAGACCCGCUUCGGUUGAUGUAGUGCAGCUUGAACGGCCGAGGCUGAAGUCGUCCGGGGGGUGCGGAGACUGGAGGCCUUGGAUGUUCUCGCUAUCUUUUCUUUUUUUUUUUUUGCUCACAGUCCUGGGCCUGCUGACAGCCAGCUGUUGAAGGUGGGUCCAGCAGAGGGAUUGGAAAGCAGCAGCAGCCUUGGGACGAGUGAGAGCUCGGUUUGAGCGGCAGUCUUUCCUGUGAAUGGAUGAACUUUUCACUUCCGACUGGACCCAGAGCUGGGAAUGAUUACGUGCAUCCAUCCAAAUAUAGCUUAAGAAGGAAGCGGGWGCUGCAGGGAGAUGGGCGGGCGAGGGCUCGGCGGUGCCAACGAUCCACCUGCAGGAGCUGGCGGYUCUGGUGUCAGCCCAGCAGGGCACAGCGACGGGCGGCAAACCUUUCACACCUAUAGCAGGAUUGUAAACCACUUCAGGAUUCAGCGUGAUGUGGAGCUGCCUCGUGUUUGGCUUGACAGUGCGAGGAGCUUGUAGUGAUGGUGAGGUUAAAGUGAAGCACACGCAGGGGGGAAGAUGUACACGUUUUUUUUUGCACUCUGCCUCUCUGGUUUUCUCUCUCCUUUGCAGGUUUGGGCCUGAAAGACGUGCCAGACCUGCUGCCAAAGAGUUGGCCUCCACCUCACCCUGCAGACAUGGCUGUGCACACACGCAUAGACACACAAACAUCCAUGCGUACGAGACGUGAUAAACAAGCAAAUCUCUCAGGAGUUAGAAUCUGAGGAGAACUUUCCUCCCUAACAACCUUUGAGCAAAUAUGCAGCCGGUGCUCAUAGUUAAAAAAAAAGAUUCCUGUCAUUUCCACAUUCUGUCUCUGAUGAUGGAGGUGUCGCACCGCGGAGCCACAUUCACACGGUGUCUCUGUCUCUCUCUCUUUCUGUCCCCUGACAAACCUAUGCACACACAUUUCAAUUUGUCAGUUGUCUGUCAGACAUGCCCUAUUUUUAAAACGGUAAACACACCUACACACAUUCUCCCAUGCUUGGUCACACCCACUGCAGCGCAGGCCCCGCAAACGAGUCUGCCCUCAUAUCUGAGGACGCCCUGCACAACUGUAAGGCAGAUUAACUUAGUCAGGUGAAGCAAAUCAUGACACCUGACACUAGCCGUCUCUCUCUUUAAGUUGCUCUCUGUCUCCACACUUAAUGCUGCAGCGCCUAGCGAUAAUUGCACGCUAGGAGCUAGUGGUAAUUGCACAGUACAUACCUGUCCAGGGUGGAAGCCCCGUCUACUAAACAGAGGGCCUCCUCUGUGAGAUGGUUGUAAUGACCUUUCUGUUGUUGUUACUGUACAUCCCUCUGCUGUGCACGUGUGCAAAAUCUGCCAAGGUYAGCCCGCAGACAGGUGUUUAUUUUAUGCAAUAGGUUGUUCAAACAGUGUGCUUUUACAAAAAAAGGGGGGGAAAAAGUGAACAUGUCAACCAUCCCUACAGCUUUGGACAACAAACUGCAACAAAUCAGCACCUCAGAUGUUUAAAAUGUGACGGCUUGUUUGCGAAUCAGUGGACGGUUCUUAAUCCAGCGGUGGUUUUCACGACACCUCAGUGAGUCAGAGUACACGUGUGUUUGGCUGAUCGCGGCGCCUUAGCAAGACGUCAGAAACCACCAAAACAUUGUUAACCCUGUGCAGAAAUGUUCACGACAGCUUGGUUGAGCAGAUUUUUAUCUUAACGAUGAUGCGCUCUGGGAGAGAACAUUUCUUAAAAGUAUUAUUAAAAGGCCAAGGAGGACUGAGUGAGAAAGUAGAGGCAAAUGAAGGCUGACAGGGAGAUUAAGCCACAUAAUUUGAGAGUAUUUACCAGGUUGUUCAGGGGAGAAGCAUACUGGAAUGAGGAGUGGCCGCAGCACUUUGUCACACGACGCCUGUUUAAAAAUACACACCACUCAGAGCAGUGCUAGUAAAUUUGGCCACUUUAGCACAAAUAAAGUGGAUAAUACACUGUUGCAAAAAUAGCAGGAAAAGUAUGAUGCAUCCUAUUAUUGCACUUCUGAUGCAAACGUUUUUAAUUGGCAGCCUUUUUCAUCCGAACAGUUGAUGAUCAUAACAAAACAUUCAAUUUUGCUAAAUCCGAUGACAAAACUGAAAAUCAAGGAAAUGCAUUUCUUCCACUGAUGACUUCAAAAGUAAGCUUCAUUAAAGUCCAUCCAGUAGUUCACGAGAUAUUUUGCUAACAGGCAGGCAAGAUUGACUCCAACAGAUUAAGCCAAAGAUCUCGCUCCAUCUGUUUGCAAGUUAAUGAAUAUGACUUUAGGAUUAAUUUUGUAGCUGCUAUAAUACCAAACUUUUUGUGCAUUUUAGGUUCAGUUAGCUUAAAAAUUCCCCAGUGGUUCAGGAUGUAUUUUAGUAGCAGACAAACCCACACAGGCACAUUGUUGUUGCCUUAAAACAGCUCCAGUCUUUCAAAUUCCACACAUCUUCACAUGAAUGCUUUGUCACAAACCUUUAUGCUGCUGUCAGUUCCAACACGAGUACUAUAAUAUUCCUGCUGGAAGCGCCUCAGGCUGCGCUGGAUGUGCUACGGUGGCUGCCGUCGCUGUUCGAACUUGCAGGUAAUCAUAAAAUUCAAUGUAAACAACCAUGUAAUGAAAAAUUAAUGGUGAUAUAAAGGUUUAUGUAAUAGAGUUUGCAUGAACUGAUUUGAAACUUUUUAGGUCUGAGAUCUAUGCUGCUAAGAGUUCCUUUUAUUCUUUGAUGCAUUUGGAACAGCUAACUCACACAUGAGCAACUUAUGGCUCAAGGGCCAAAAGGGGCCCUUGGAAGAUCUAAUGUUCUAAAAUUAAAAUAAAACCACUUUAAUAUGAGUUAUUGAAAUCUUGCAUGUUUCAUUAAUGAAACAUUAAAGGGCCAAUAUUAUGUGUUUC